UACGGAGGGGGCUAGCGUUGUUCGGAAUUACUGGGCGUAAAGCGCACGUAGGCGGCUUGGUAAGUUAGAGGUGAAAGCCUGGAGCUCAACUCCAGAAUUGCCUUUAAGACUGCCGAGCUAGCAGGUGAGAGAGGUGAGUGGAAUUCCGAGUGUAGAGGUUAAAUUCGUAGAUAUUCGGAAGAACACCAGUGGCGAAGGCGGCUCACUGGCUCAUACUGGACGCUGAGGUGCGAAAGCGUGGGGAGCAAACAGG
rnacentral:rRNA from 1 species